UACGUAGGGCGCAAGCGUUAUCCGGAAUUAUUGGGCGUAAAGCGCUCGCAGGUGGUUCGUCGCGUCGUGCGUGAAAGACCCCGGCUCAACUGGGGGAUGUCGUGCGAUACGGGCGGACUGGAGGCCAGUAGGGGGAUGCGGAAUUCCGGGUGUAGUGGUGGAAUGCGUAGAGAUCCGGAGGAACACCAGCGGCGAAGGCGGCAUCCUGGACUGGUCCUGACACUCAGGAGCGAAAGCGUGGGGAGCGAUCCGG
rnacentral:rRNA from 1 species